AGUGAACGCUGGCGGUAGGCCUAACACAUGCAAGUCGAACGGCAGCACAGUAAGAGCUUGCUCUUACGGGUGGCGAGUGGCGGACGGGUGAGGAAUACAUCGGAAUCUACUUUUUCGUGGGGGAUAACGUAGGGAAACUUACGCUAAUACCGCAUACGACCUACGGGUGAAAGCAUGGGAUCUUCGGACCUUGCGCGAUUGAAUGAGCCGAUGUCGGAUUAGCUAGUUGGCGGGGUAAAGGCCCACCAAGGCGACGAUCCGUAGCUGGUCUGAGAGGAUGAUCAGCCACACUGGAACUGAGACACGGUCCAGACUCCUACGGGAGGCAGCAGUGGGGAAUAUUGGACAAUGGGCGCAAGCCUGAUCCAGCCAUACCGCGUGGGUGAAGAAGGCCUUCGGGUUGUAAAGCCCUUUUGUUGGGAAAGAAAAGCAGCAGGUUAAUACCCCGCUGUUCGGACGGUACCCAAAGAAUAAGCACCGGCUAACUUCGU
rnacentral:rRNA from 1 species